AAAAAUGAAGAUAAAAUUGAUAAUUCAAAGAAAGUGAUCAAAAAUCCUGAAACUGUUGGAACUCAAAAUGGCGGUAUUUUUGAGAGUAAUAGCAGAUUCUUUGUGAUAAUGUUGGUAAUUUUGCUAAUUCUAAUCAUCUUACUUAUUCUCAAACGUCCGAUAUCGAUGGUUUAUUUUUUACUUUUAUUUUAGAAAUUGUCAAAUCUUUUCUCUUCUAGAACUAGAGGUCGAUAUA